rnacentral:tRNA from 1 species
GGAUUGUGGCUCAGCGGCAGAGCGCUCGCCUAGCACAUGCGAGGCUCCUGGGUUCGAUCCUCAGCACCA